rnacentral:rRNA from 1 species
UUCCGGUUGAUCCUGCCGGACCCGACUGCUAUCAGAGUGGGACUAAGCCAUGCGAGUCGACGUAGCAAUGCGUGGCGAACGGCUCAGUAACACGUAGUCAACAUGCCCAGGGGACGUGGAUAACCUCGGGAAACUGAGAAUAACCCACGAUAGGUCACGAUUUCUGGAAUGGAUCAUGGCCUAAAUCUACAUGGCCCCUGGAUUGGACUGCGGCCGAUCAGGCUGUUGGUGAGGUAGUGGCCCACCAAACCUAUAACCGGUACGGGCUCUGAGAGGAGAAGCCCGGAGAUGGGCACUGAGACAAGGGCCCAGGCCCUAUGGGGCGCAGCAGGCGCGAAACCUCUGCAAUAGGCGAAAGCCUGACAGGGUUACUCUGAGUGAUUUCCGUUAAGGAGAUCUUUUGGCACCUCUAAAAAUGGUGCAGAAUAAGGGGUGGGCAAGUCUGGUGUCAGCCGCCGCGGUAAUACCAGCACCCCGAGUGGUCGGGACGUUUAUUGGGCCUAAAGCAUCCGUAGCCGGUUCUACAAGUCUUCCGUUAAAUCCACCUGCUUAACAGAUGGGCUGCGGAAGAUACUAUAGAGCUAGGAGGCGGGAGAGGCAAGCGGUACUCGAUGGGUAGGGGUAAAAUCCGUUGAUCCAUUGAAGACCACCAGUGGCGAAGGCGGCUUGCCAGAACGCGCUCGACGGUGAGGGAUGAAAGCUGGGGGAGCAAACCGGAUUAGAUACCCGGGUAGUCCCAG